UGUGCUACCAUGGACUGGACUCCUCUCCUCCUCAUGCUCCUGUCUCACUGCACAGGUUCCCUGUCCCAGCCUGUGCUGACCCAGCCGCCCUCCCUGUCUGCAUCUCCGGGAACAACAGCCAGACUCACCUGCACCCUGAGCAGUGGCUACAAUGUUGGCGGCUACUACAUAAAUUGGUUCCAGCAGAAGCCAGGGAGCCCUCCCCGGUAUCUCCUGUACUACUACUCAGACUCAGAUAAGCACCAGGGCCCCGGGGUCCCCAGCCGCUUCUCCGGGUCCAAAGAUGCCUCGGCCAAUGCGGGGCUUCUGCUCAUCUCUGGGCCACAGCCUGAAGACGAGGCUGACUAUUACUGUGCUACAUAUCAUGGCAGUGUUACUCACAGUGACUCAGAUAACGAGGAAGUGAGAUAAAAACCUCUGGGUCCACAGAUUUUGUCUCCAAGCCUCUUUUAUUGAGAAGCUUCUGUGGAGGAUCCUAUAGGGGAGAGUCCUCUGUGGUGAGACCUGUCCUUGAGGAGGUUGAAGUGACACACAAGAAAUUUAAUAGUGAACAUAUGGGAGUCAACAUAGACCUAGAAAGUCAAAAGACACGCAGGCAAAAUGAGAUCUAUGUUUUUCUGAAUUACAUGGAAGGAGGUAGGGGUCUAGUAUUCAAUGCAAAGAAAUGCACUUCACAGACAGAAGAAGAAGAGUAGAGUAGAUGUUUCAUAAACAAUGUGUGCAGGGCCCCUGGGAAACGAUGGGACACAGAGGACUGUGACCAAACAGGCUUUGCUGGGUCCCCAUCUGCCCCACCUCGUUCAUAUCCUAGUGCAGUUGUCUGUGGUGCCAGCUGUCUUCCUGGGGCAGCUGCCCCCCCCCUGAAUGUUUCAGUCAGUUGAAGAGACAUGAAGAGCUUUUCCUGAGUGUAUGGGCAUCAACUGCUUUUUAACUCAUGAUAAUCUUCAUGUCAGUGUGGCCCAUCCAGGGGCGGCCUGCCUUGUGCCCUGCAGUUCUAGUAAAAAGUUGCUAAGGCCAAGGUCAAAAGGUUGCUGCCUGUGUUCUCCUCUAGGAUUUUGAUGGUUUCCCGUCUCACAUUUAGGCCUUGCAUCCAUUUUGAUUUUAUUUUUGUAUAGAAAAAUAAGUGUAAGAAAGUGGUCCAGUUCUAUUCUUCCGCAUGUUUCUGUCCAGUUUACCCCAUGCCAUUUGUUGAAAAGACUGUCUUUUUUCCAUUGGAUGUUCUUUCCUGCUUUGUCGGACAUGAACUGGCCAUAUAUUUGGGUUUUCUAUUCUGUUCCAUUGAUCUCUGUGCCUGUCCUGUGCCAGGACCAUACUGUCCUGAUGACUCCAGCUCUGUAAUCCAGCUUGAAGUCCGGAAUCAGAGUCUCUUUAAACAGAUGCUAUAUUAUAUUCACAGGCUAUAAAAUACAGACCCUGCUAAAUA